UACGAAGGGGGCUAGCGUUGCUCGGAAUCACUGGGCGUAAAGCGCACGUAGGCGGAUUGUUAAGUCAGGGGUGAAAUCCCGGGGCUCAACCUCGGAACUGCCUUUGAUACAGCAAGUCUUGAGUUCGAGAGAGGUGGGUGGAAUUCCUAGUGUAGAGGUGAAAUUCGUAGAUAUUAGGAAGAACACCGGUGGCGAAGGCGGCCCACUGGCUCGACACUGACGCUGAGGUGCGAAAGCGUGGGGAGCAAACAGG
rnacentral:rRNA from 1 species